CCUACGGGCGGCAGCAGUGGGGAAUAUUGCACAAUGGGGGAAACCCUGAUGCAGCGACGCCGCGUGAGCGAAGAAGGAUUUCGGUAUGUAAAACUCUAUCAGCAGGGAAGAAAAUGACGGUACGUGAGUAAGAAGCUCCGGCUAAAUACGUGCCAGGAGCCGCGGUAAUACGUAUGGAGCAAGUGUUAUCCGGAUUUACUGGGCGUAAAGGGAACGUAGGCGGCCUGGCAAGUCUGAUGGGAAAUACCGGGGCUCAACCCCGGGGCUGCCUUGGAAACUGGCAGGCUGGAGUGGCGGAGAGGCAGGCGGAAUUCGCGGUGUAGCGGUGAAAUGCGUAGAUAUGAGGAGGAACACCGGUUGCGAAGGCAGCAUGCUGGACGGUGACUGACGCUGAGGCUCGAAAGCGUGGGGAGCGAACAGGAUUAGAUACCCGGGUAGUC
rnacentral:rRNA from 1 species